rnacentral:rRNA from 1 species
GACGAACGCUGGCGGCGUGCUUAACACAUGCAAGUCGAACGGAAAGGCCCUGCUUUUGUGGGGUGCUCGAGUGGCGAACGGGUGAGUAACACGUGAGUAACCUGCCCUUGACUUUGGGAUAACUUCAGGAAACUGGGGCUAAUACCGGAUAGGAGCUCCUGCUGCAUGGUGGGGGUUGGAAAGUUUCGGCGGUUGGGGAUGGACUCGCGGCUUAUCAGCUUGUUGGUGGGGUAGUGGCUUACCAAGGCUUUGACGGGUAGCCGGCCUGAGAGGGUGACCGGCAACAUUGGGACUGAGAUACGGCCCAGACUCCUACGGGAGGAAGCAGUGGGGAAUAUUGAACAAUGGGCGGAAGCCUGAUGCAGCAACGCCGCGUGCGGGAUGACGGCCUUCGGGUUUUAAACCGCUUUCGCCUGUGACGAAGCGUGAGUGACGGUAAUGGGUAAAGAAGCACCGGCUAACUACGUG